CCUGUCCUACGGGAGGCAGCAGUAGGGAAUCUUCCACAAUGGACGAAAGUCUGAUGGAGCAACGCCGCGUGAGUGAAGAAGGGUUUCGGCUCGGAAAGCUCUGUUGGUAGUGGAGGAAGAUAGAGGUAGUAACUGGCCUUUAUUUGACGGUAAUUAAUUAGAAAGUCACGGCUAACUCCGUGCCAGCAGCCGCGGUAAUACGUAGGUGGCAAGCGUUGUUCGGAUUUAUUUGGGGUAAAGCGAGUGCAGGCGGGU
rnacentral:rRNA from 1 species